GGGGCAACCGAGGAAGGCCCCAAGAGGACAAUGGAUUCUGGAACUCGCCCAGUUGGUAGCUGCUGUAGCAGCCCCGCUGGGCUCUCACGGGAGUACAAACUAGUGAUGCUGGGUGCUGGUGGUGUAGGGAAGAGUGCCAUGACCAUGCAGUUCAUCAGCCACCGAUUCCCAGAAGAUCAUGAUCCCACCAUUGGUAAGCCAGAUCAUCACUUAUGUUUCCAAAUAUACCCCAUAAAAAUAUCUUAAUGAAUAUCAGUAGUUUCUAACUAUUUAUAUUUUGAGGCUUUUUUGGAGUCUAAUUCAGAUUUAUUUAGAAACAAGGGUAUCAGCAGUUGGUAAGCAACUGAAUAUUUCUUUUUUUUUCAGACUUUAUGUCAUAAGCCAUCUUUAGUCUUUGUCUCUUACUGAACAUUAAUGGGACAACUCUCUUUGUUGUAUUUUUUUAUGGUUGUAUACAGGCCACUUAACGAAGCCUUUUCUUGCUGUCACUUCUCUAAGGGUAUGACUUGAGACUCGCUCUGUAACUGUGAGUCAGCUGGUUUGAACUU
rnacentral:lncRNA from 1 species